GUCUCUGUGGCGCAAUUGGUCAGUGUGUUUGGCUGUUAACCGAAAGGUUGAUGGUGCAAGCCCACAAUGCACG